rnacentral:lncRNA from 1 species
UUUCUGAGAAUUUCCACUCUGAAUUCACUUUCAGUUCAGUGUUGUCGCCACCCUGUGGAUAUCUUGGCUACCUCGCUGGCUUUGAGCACAACCCAGGAAGAAGUUCAAAACCAAGAAAAUGGUGUUUGGCAAGACCAGGAUGCACAAUGGCAAGAAUUAAUCAGACUGAUGAAAGAAAACAUUGUAGUAUGUAUAGCUCCUCCACGAAAAUGAUUUGCUGACAACUCUGGAAUACACAGUAGGCACCCAAUACAUACAAGGGAGUAAAUGAACGAAUUAAAGCUGUCUGUAUCUGCUGAUCAUCCACAAUUUAGAUGUCCUAUACUACAUUCCAGUUGAGGGCAAGCCGGGUACGUGUCCUGAAUUUAUAGAAUCUUUUGACACAAAGCAACAGAGCCACAGUCAAGAGUCAAGUCAAAAGAAAUUUAGACCCCAUCUGGGCAAACAGGCCUCUAAGCAACAACCUAAGAUUUCCACCUAUUGUUCUGGGGUUCCUUGUAUAAAUGAUUAUGACUGCAGAGAUCUUAGGAAGUGCUGUGGUACCUUUAGAUGUGGCCUGAGGUGCACACAUCCUCUUAUGAUUGACCCUGUAUUUUUCAAUUCACCUCCACAAUCCAAGGCAUAAAUAUUGGAUGGAGAAAUGGAUUCAGAUGGAGGCAUCAUUGAGCUUAUUCUUGACUCAUCUCAGUCCAAACA